GACGAACGCUGGCGGCGUGCUUAACACAUGCAAGUCGAACGGUAAGGCCAUUCGGGGUACACGAGUGGCGAACGGGUGAGUAACACGUGGGUGAUCUGCCCUGCACUUCUGGAGAAGCUUGGGAAACUGGGUCAAAAAGCGGAUAGGACCCCUUCCUGCACGGGUGGUGGUGGCAAGCUUUUGCGGGGUGGGAUGGGCCUGCGGCCUAUCAGCUUGUUGGUGGGGUGAGGGCCCACCAAGGCGACGACGGGUAGCCGGCCUGAGAGGGUGACCGGCCACACUGGGACUGAGAUACGGCCCAGACUCCUACGGGAGGCAGCGGUGGGGAAUAUUGCACAAUGGGCGCAAGCCUGAUGCAGCGACGCCGCGUGAGGGAUGACGGCCUUCGGGUUGUAAACCUCUUUCAGCACCGACGAAGCGCAAGUGACGGUAGGUGCAGAAGAAGGACCGGCCAACUACGUGCCAGCAGCCGCCGUAACAC
rnacentral:rRNA from 1 species